ensembl:lncRNA
ACAACACUCUGCUCUACUUUACAAUACUCUGCUCUACAAUACUCUGCUCUAUCUCUACAACACUCUGCUCUACUUAACAACACUCUGCUCUACUUUACAAUACUCUGCUCUACAAUACUCUGCUCUACUCUACAACACUCUGCUCUACUUAACAACACUCUGCUCUACUUUACAAUACUCUGCUCUACAAUACUCUGCUCUACUCUACAAUACUCUGCUCUACUCUACAACACUCUGCUCCCACUCUACAAUACUCUGCUCUAACAAUACUCUGCUCUACUCUACAAUACUCUGCUCUACAACACUCUGCUCUACUUUACAAUACUCUGCUCUACAAUACUCUGCUCUACUCUACAACACUCUGCUCUACUUAACACACUCUGCUCUACUUACAAUACUCUGCUCUACAAUACUCUGCUCUACUCUACAACACUCUGCUCUACUUAACAACACUCUGCUCUACUUUACAAUACUCUGCUCUACAAUACUCUGCUCUACGCUACAAUGCUCUGCUCUACUAUACUCUACAAUAUUCUGCUCCACUAUACAUACUCUAUUCUACUCCACUCUACAAUACUCUCCUCCAUAAUACUCUAAAAUACUCUGCUCCACUCCUCUAUACUCUACAAUACUCCACUCUGCAUUUCACUUCCAAACUGAAACUCUAAAUUGUUCCAAGUUGCUUAGGACCAAUUAUUGGGUCAUUCAGAGCUUCUGAGUCAUUAUAUUUCAUUAUAUGUUUUUAGUAAUAAUUUUAUCAUAUGCUAAAAGAAACUGAUGCGACUAAGCUGUGUAAAAUCCUAUUAGCUUACUUCGAUAUGAAUGUUCUAAAAUCUGAUACGACUUGGUACUAUUAAAUACCAUAAAACAGAAACUAUGCAUGUUUUUUUUUUUUUUUUUUUGUUUUUUACUUGUAUAUAAGUAUACACAUGGAAAAUAUAAGCUUCUGUUAGCUGUUGUAUUCGUAAUAAGUGUGUUUUUGCCAAUGUUUUUACAAUGACAGUAUUUUUGCUACGUUGCAUUCCAGUCUCUCUCUGCAGGUUCUUUUUUUUUACUUUCUCGCUCAUUCCUACUUUUAUUAUUAAUUACCAAAUUACUAUUAUUUCCAAAUUUCCUUAAUUAUGUACAUAUAUUUUGUUUAUGC